UGAUUGGACCAACGCGAUUAUUUUUCAGUAUUAUCUUUAAAGAAUUCGUCUGGAAAUUACCAAUGAAGAAUUAAGCAUGUUUAUAAAUAAUUAUAAGUUUUAACAAAAACAACGUCACGAGAUCAGCCAUGCAAGGUCAAAACACUCAAAAGGAAAACCCCACAAAUCUAGAAGUGUUGCUCGCGAACAGCCUAAAACCACAACGGAUAUUGAACUGAAAAAUUUGAGAACGAUCUCCAGUGAUCGCGGAAUUUUUGUUGCGCAAAAGGCGAAAUGGAAUUCGAUUCAAAUUUCGAAGUGAAUUUUAUGUUUGUGUUCACUUUAAAGCUAC